AUUGAACGCUGGCAGCAUGCCUUACACAUGCAAGUCGAACGGUAACAGGUCUUCGGAUGCUGACGAGUGGCGAACGGGUGAGUAAUACAUCGGAACGUGCCCGAGAGUGGGGGAUAACGAGGCGAAAGCUUUGCUAAUACCGCAUACGAUCUCAGGAUGAAAGCAGGGGACCGCAAGGCCUUGCGCUCACGGAGCGGCCGAUGGCAGAUUAGGUAGUUGGGGGGAUAAAAGCUUACCAAGCCGACGAUCUGUAGCUGGUCUGAGAGGACGACCAGCCACACUGGGACUGAGACACGGCCCAGACUCCUACGGGAGGCAGCAGUGGGGAAUUUUGGACAAUGGGCGCAAGCCUGAUCCAGCCAUGCCGCGUGCAGGAUGAAGGCCUUCGGGUUGUAAACUGCUUUUGUACGGAACGAAAAGACUCCUUCUAAUAAAGGGGGUCCAUGACGGUACCGUAAGAAUAAGCACCGGCUAACUACGUGCCAGCAGCCGCGGUAAUAC
rnacentral:rRNA from 1 species